rnacentral:rRNA from 1 species
CCUACGGGCGGCAGCAGUGGGGAAUAUUGGACAAUGGGGGCAACCCUGAUCCAGCCAUGCCGCGUGUGUGAAGAAGGCCCUCGGGUUGUAAAGCACUUUCAGUGAAGAAGAACGCCUGGUGGUUAAUACCCAUCAGGAAAGACAUCACUCACAGAAGAAGCACCGGCUAACUCCGUGCCAGCAGCCGCGGUAAUACGGAGGGUGCGAGCGUUAAUCGGAAUUACUGGGCGUAAAGCGCGCGUAGGUGGCUUGAUAAGCCGGUUGUGAAAGCCCCGGGCUCAACCUGGGAACGGCAUCCGGAACUGUCAAGCUAGAGUGCAGGAGAGGAAGGUAGAAUUCCCGGUGUAGCGGUGAAAUGCGUAGAGAUCGGGAGGAAUACCAGUGGCGAAGGCGGCCUUCUGGACUGACACUGACACUGAGGUGCGAAAGCGUGGGUAGCAAACAGGAUUAGAUACCCCUGUAGUC